rnacentral:lncRNA from 1 species
CUCUUUCUUCCUCUCUACUCAUCAGACCGACAAAGUUUAACAGCAAAAGGGGAGGAGAGGUAAAGGAGAGACAGUGGAGUAGUACUGGUACUAGGAGGAGGAGGAGCAAUUAUAAGAGCAAUAGAAGUGCCAUGCCUUGUUCCUCUGCUAGCACUGUAUCUGGUGGCGUUGGUGGUGGAGGAGGCCGAGAUGAUAAUGGUUCGCUUCGUUACUUCAAGCUGAACGAGUCCACCUUUUUGGCUUCUCUCAUGCCUAAGAAGGAGAUUGGCGCCGAUCGCUUGAUUGAUGCUCAUCCUGAGUUUGGCGGACGUGGCGUAGUUUUAGCUAUUUUCGGUACUACUGCAAUACUCGCCUGAUCAUUCUCUGUUUGACCUUCAUAGGAGAAGUUUGAUUGAUUACUUGCGUAAGAUAUGGCUUGAAUUUAUUAGAUUUUGGAGUUGACCCGGCUGCUGCUGGAUUGCCAUUGACCUCGGAUGGGAAGCCUAAGAUCCUCGAUGUUAUUGACUGGUAUUAACAAAGUUACUUAGCUUUAUUAUUAGCAGUUUGUUGAUGAAUUUUUGUCCUGAGGUAUUUCCCAUUUCUAUUUCUCCAGCACUGGGAGUGGAGACAUUGAUACUUCGGAAGUCGUGAAAGCUGAUGCAGAUUGUUGCAUCCGCGGGGCUUCAGGCUGGCCCUUGAACUGUUAUCGUUAUUCUUGUUGACUAUACUGAUUGUGCUCUUUCAUUUUUGUUUUUGUUUUUUGUUUUUUUUUUUUUUUUUUUUUUUUUUUUGGAGCUGUCAUAUUAGUGUGAGAAAAUUGUGCUGUUCUUUUAUGGUAAUAGUAAGUUGCAUUAGCUCUGAACUCUGUGAAUGGUUGUAAUGAAAUGUGUUUGAUAGGAGCUGCUCUGGCUGUCAAUUCCUCAUGGAAAAACCCUUCCGGUGAAUGGCACGUUGGUUAUAAGUUGGUGUAUGAACCAUUUACUGCCACAUUAACUGCACGUUUGAAGGUAGCAUUGUUGUCCUCACUUCUUUGUGCAAUGCAAACUGUACAACUAAACUUCGGCACUAGUAAUUUGCUUAAUAAACAUAAAUUUGCUUCCCCUUUUCUAAUUGACAGAAAGAAAGAAAAAAGAAGUGGGAUGAGAAAAACCAGGAAGAAAUUGCUGUGGCAGUAAAGCAUCUUGACGAAUUCAAUCAGGUUUUUGGAAAUCCUGCUUGAUUUCUUCGUUGCAUGUGUAUCAUCCGUCUGAUGUCUGUGUGUUGUAUUUUUUUGGGGUUUUUAAGUGUUGAAAAUUUUUGAUUAUUUUCUUUUUAACAAUUUUGCGCCCCUGCUAGGUUUGUGAAUUUUACAGUGUAAACGGAUUAGUAAUGCAUAUGCAGCAAUGAAAUAUCAUUUCAUACAAUUUGGAUUCUUAAAUAAUUCUACAGAAACUGUUGUUUCAGGGCUGAAAGGAAAUUUGGUAUGUUCAGCAAUUUGGAUGCAUGCUCAGUUGUACUUAAUCUAUAUGAUGAGGGAAAUGUCUUAAAUAUCGUAACUGAUAGCGCCCCUCAUGGUACUCAUGUAGCUGGUAUUGCGACAGCCUUCCACCCAAAGGUACUGCCAUUUUAAGUUUGUUGCAUUCUUUCUACUGUAGAAUGUUUGACAUUUGGGUUUUUUCAUUGAUGAAUUUCUCAGAAGACGCUACUGAAUGGAGUUGCCCCCGGAGCUUAGUUAAUAUCAUGCAAAAUUGGAGACUCACGUUUAGGUUCAAUGGAGACAGACACUGGCUUGACGAGGGCCCUGAUUGGUGCUGUGGAGGUGGGUUCAAUUUAUUCCACAAUAGUACGUCCACCUUAAUUAAAUAGUAUUUUUGUAUUUCUAAAAUUACCAUUUUAAAAUUUUUUUUACUAUUAUUAUUUCUAAAAUUUCUCUAUUUCUUAAAAAAAUUUUAAAGUUUUUCUUUAAUUUUUUGUGUUGUGAUUGGCCAACUUAAGUAGUUUAAUUAAUUAUUUACUAAAGUCCUCCAUAUUUAAGUAUUUGAGUUGUUUAAAUUAUACACCCAAUAAAAAUCUAGAUAUGAUUAAUUUUUAAAAUUAUUUAAAAUUAUUGAACUUUAUCUAUAUAUAAUUAUUUAUCCUAGAAUGCAGCAUUUGAGUUGUUUAAAUUAUAUACUCAACUAAAAAUCUAACUACAAUUAUUAACUAUUUCUAUAAUUUUGUUUAAUUGUUAUAUUUAAUUACUUUUUAUAGGAAAUUAAAACAACGAUGAGCAACAUUCUUGAUAAAUAAUAAAAAAUAUAAAAUCAACAAGAGUACAUUAGAAAAUAAAACAAUUAAUUAUUUUUGGACAAAUGGAAAAGAAAAGGCAAGUGUAUGUUUAUGAAACAAGAAAAUUAUUAUAAAUAAAAACAGAAAUCCAUUUUCAAUCUUGGACGAGACUGGAAUACUAUACUUGGAAACUUUGGAGCUCACAUGUCAAAUCCAUUAUUUAAUGUAAAGUUUCACAGAAAUGCAUUUAUGCAACUUGCAUGCUAUGGGUAUUUUCAAAUGUAAACUUUUUAGUUUUUAAUCCCAAACAAGACAAUCAGCUUUUCAAUUUCAUGCGUCAAUCCUCCUCGAAGCUUAAACGCAUUCCUAAAUUUCCUUCUCUCAUCAUUACUUCAAUCUCUUUUCUUAAGUACUUACAUUUAUGCUAUAUUUGGAAAGGAGAAGAAGUAAAAUUAGAGAGGAAGGAAAAUAAGAGAGGAUUAUUACCGUUCAUUUUCCCUCCUUAUUUUCCGCCCUAUAUUUGGUUUCGAAGGAAAAUGAGAGGUAGAAAGGAAAACAAUAUUCUUAUAAAUUUAAAAGUUCUGUACUUUUUAGGAACAGUAAAAAUUUCCCUUCAUUUUCAUCACCUCCUCUCCGAUUUGGAGAGAUUGAGAAAUUGUGUGUACCGUAGGAAAAUAUUGAGAGUUUUCCUCUCUCCAAAUUUUCUCACUUGUUCCGAACAGAAGAAAUUGAGAAUUGCAAGGUACUGUCUACCCUUUUUUUUUUUCCUCCCACAAAGUCAUCCAUUCCCAAACAUAAUGUUAACGUCGAUUUCCAUAUAUAUAUUUCCUUCGUAUCGACGACGUAGAUUUCCCAGCACGCUCUUUAUAGUAUCGUUUUUAAUUUAUAAUCUACCUCAACACAUUGGAGAUUUGAAUUAAUUGAUGUGCUUCGGCUAUAAAUUCUCUUUAAUUUGUAUGAGAUUCAUUGUAUUCGUCUUCUGCAUUUCAACCAGCUCUCUAGCUAGCUCGCGAAGAUGAAGAUGGCAGUAGCGAUGUUCCUGAUUUUGCUGAAUUGCGCUCUAUGGCGCAUUUGCUUGGCCGGCCGGCUUGUGGUGGACAUGACUCUGGUUCAAAAUGCUUCGGCUCUCGGUGCCUGUAACUCUCUUUCUUCUCCUUCUUGUUCUUCCUUUUUGAAGGGAAAAUUUUUUUUAAAAAAUUAUUGGAGAAUAAAGUGACAUUUGUUUAUUUAUUAUUUAUUGGUCAGGCGAUUAUUAUUCCUGGUUUUUUUAACAGAUUUUUUUUUUUUUUUUGGCUUGUGAAUGUUCGUAGUUUGUUUGGAUGGAAGUUUGCCGGCAUAUCAUUUGCAUAAAGGAUCCGGAGCUGGUGCAAACAACUGGAUUUUGCAGUUCGAGGUAAGCUCUCUGCUUCCGCUUUUUAAAAUUAAGCAAAGGAGUGAAAAGGAGCGCGAAACAAAAUUGGAUUAGAAAAAGACUCCAAUUAGAACUUGCCACAUAUGCAGUUCUGGGAUUGAAAUUGUUUUUCGAAAAUCAAUACGGCAUCGUUGUUCUUUUCCUCAGUGUCCUGUGACUUGUGGGGCGAUAUUGCCUUUUGCAAUUUGCACUUCUCAUACCGCGUUAUUGCCUUAUUGGAGACCAUUGAGAAGGAACCUGGAAAGCCCACGGUCGGGAUAGAAAAAGUAGCGUCAAGUCGUAUAAGCGAAGUUGGAGGGAAAAGCUGUAACUUAACGCUUUUAUUUGGAAAAACACAGGAAAAAAAUUUUAAAAAAAAGUGAGAAAUGAAAAGAAGGAAGAAAAAGAAGGUGGUAAAGAAAAUUUUGAGAAAAAUAUGUAUCUCUGGGCAGUUUUUCUUAUAACAGUCAAACUAAAUCUGUUCGAUUUGAUUCAAUUUUUUAAAAAUUUACUUUUGAUGCAAUUUAAUAAAAUAAAAAUAAACAUUUUUUGAUUUAAUUGACUUCAAUUAAAACCUCAAAAUCAAAUUGACCGAUAUGAAAAUAAGUCAAAAUAAAAAAUCAAAUAAAAUGGAAUUAAUUCAAUCCAAUUUCCUAUUUGUCCACCCCUGCUAUGAAGAUUGUUAUAACUUUUUCUAUUUUCCUCCGAUAUGAAGAGAAAAUUUUGGAAGAAAAAUAACACUCCCUUGUUUUUUUUUUUUUUUUCAAUUUUCCAGAUAAGCUAAAAUAUCAUUUCCUUUUUAACAUGCAUUGGCGGGCCCAACAGCUUUAGCAUAUGGGCCUCUUUAUACAUAAUGUUCAUAUAUUCACCGAACGAUUAUGAACUUGUUGAUAGGGAGGUGGGUGGUGUUACGAUUUAAAAUCAUGCUUGGAGAGAGCCCCAACACGCCGUGGAUCUACAGAGCAAAUGAACAAGCGGGCGUAUUUCAAUGGAAUCCUAAGCGACGAUGCUUCUCUUAAUCCAGGUAAAUUAACAUUUCUUAAUUCCAGAAUUCACAGUCCAUCAUUUUAAUUUCCAUGUUUAACGAAUUAAAUUUAUCAUCUCAAUCGUAUCUAUAUGGCAUUUAUUUAGUUUGUCAGCUAUGAAUUGCGUUUUUAAUGAAGGGUAUUUCUGGAAAUACAGCACAUUUGUCCAUUUCCCUCACAUUUUCUGUUGGCCCAUUCACGUGAUGAAUAGGAGGGCCAAACGCGAUUCCUUUUGUCUGUCGGCUUUUGUUAGCUGUAGCCUUACUGUUGGGGCUUCCAUAAAUAACAAUGGUGCCUCGUUGUGAAGCUAUUCAAAAUGGAAGUUCACCCUUAAAUAUGGCUAUUGGCUAACAUAAUAUACUGUAUAACUGCCACACAAAUCUACUACGAAUAAUUACAAACCACUGUCUGUGUUCAGAUCUCAGAUUUUAUAUUUUUCUUCUGGUUAGAAUAAUUGCAUUGCAUUCUUUUAUAACCCAUUAAUUAAAUUCUGUUAAUCAGAUUUUUACAACUGGAACCGUGUGAAGCUUAGAUAUUGUGAUGGAGGCUCAUUUGCUGGAGAUUCCAUGUCUGAAAAUGGGGUAUCUCUUUCACCCAGAUUUCCUUUUCCUGGACUAGUUGUUCACUCUGCUGAAUUUGUGCUUAGCAUUGGAAAAUUUAUUGUCCGGAGUCUUCAAAAUUUCAUUUGAACUCGAUAUUGUUGGUUAAGAUUUCUUUGGUGACAACAAAAGAACCAUCCAAAAGAUCAAUAUGUUGCAUCAGGUUUCGUUUUAUAAUGACUUAGAUAUAUAAUCACCUGCCUUGGUAAAUUUAUUUAAUGUACGCUAACAAUUUAGCUGUGAAUAGAGAAACUUAUUGUAACCGAUAAAACAGUUCGUAGUAAUUCUUAAUUUUAUCUUUCUUGCAAAAAUUCAAUAAUCUCUGAUCAGAAAAAACAGUUGCCUGCUUUGUUUGUAGUGGUGAAUUGCAGCUUUUUUUUUCUUUUUUUUUUUUUAAUAUAUUCAAGGAAGACACUCUGAAACGAUUAGAGGGAUUUCAUUGCUGGAUACUAUCCUUUUGUUAUUUUAUUUCGUAUUUCUGAUGCACACCUGCUGGAUGUCAUUGUAUCAAAAGAUGAAUCUAAAAAUGGCCUUUUGAUUUGUGUUGGAAUGACAAGUUCUGUUAUGAUAUUUUAUAAAAAGACAUUGUUUGCUCUAUUAACUUUUUCCUUUUUGUACUCAUAAAACAGACAGUCAUUUAUUUCAGAGGACAAAAGAUUUGGGAGGCAAUUAUUCAAGAUCUUCUCCCACAAGGGUUAGCGCAGGCAGAAAAGGUAAAAGCUACUCAACGCAAGAAUUUGAUUUGCCUCUUCACCCAAAUUGUGGCGUUCAUUUAACAUGCAUAAGUGACCGGUGACAACUAAUUGAACUCAUCCCAAAAAUAAAAAAUGUGAUCCUCUUUGGUUAGAUUGUAAUAUUUCCUCGUCAUUUCGAUAUUAAUUUCAUGAUCUACUCCUGUAGGCUAUGCUUUCAGGUUGCUCUGCUGGGGGUUUAUCAGCCUUUCUCCAUUGUGACAGCUUUGCUCAAGUUUUACCGAAAACUGCCACCGUGAAGUGCUUGAGUGACGCAGGAUUUUUUCUGGAUGCGUAAGAUUGUACUUUCUUGCACGGUGUAACAAGAACCUUUAUCACUUACUUAAAAUAUUCCUUUAUUCCUUUUGACAGAAAAGACAUCAGUUUGAACUACAAGAUGAGGUCCGCCUUUCAAAGUCUUGUUACUUUGCAGGUAAAACUCUUGAAAAUGUACUGUGCCUCUACAACAAUAUAUUUGAAAUGCACAGUGAAACACUUAUUUUGUGUUUCACGUAACUUCAAUCACACUUCACUAAUUGCCACUCCCCUCAAUCGUUCUCAUAAUAUUUUGACAUUAUAAUCUAAGGAAUGUCCUUGUAUUUGCGCGCUAUUUUCUCCAACCACUAAUAUGAUGUAAAGCUCUUUGUAAACAUUAUGCUCUUUGAAGUUCCAACCUUAUCUUAAUUUGCUUUUACAAGUCAAAGUAAGCUCCUCAAUUCAGUAUUUCAGUGGAUGUUUUCCAUCAGCCUGUAGAUUGCAUUUUCUCAUUGAUUGCUUGUGUUUUAGCUGGGGAUAGGGUUAGGAGAAUGAAUUCAUCCUUCGGCAUGGAUUUGCGCUUAAUGCAUAAUCGGUGAGCAAAGAUAUUCCGGCACAACAUCUGAACAGUAAAACUGAAGUUGCUACAUAACAACUGAACAUAAUUUGUCGCUUUCUUUAGAAAAAUAUGUGAAUUAGGAUGCACAUAAGAAAACCCCUAAACAAGUUAAACGUGUUAACAGAACUUCUAGUAUGUUGUGCAAGUUAUAAAUAUUGCCAAUUUUACUAACCAAAUAUAUUCUUCACGGCAGGGGAUAGAAAAGAAUCUCAACAAAGACUGCACCAAUUCCUUGGAAGAUCCGAAACUGGUAAAUUUUUUUCUUGACUUAUGUUUUCCUCUAAUCUUUCCUUGCUGUUUGGUACGUCUAAUAUUUACGUUGUUUCGUAUGUAUUACGCAGUGCAUCUUUCCACAAUAUGCAUUGAAGUUCAUUAAAACACCAUUCUUCAUCCUGAAUACAGCUUAUGAUGUGUUCCAAGUAAAUAUUUACUAGCCUUCUUGAAUCUGAAAUCAUCCGAAAUCACGCAACACACACACCAUUGAAGUCACACUUUAUACUAGGUUCAUCAAAUCAUACAGAAUGAUUGAAAUUUUAAAGUUCAACAGUUGAACCAUAUAUUGGUGCCUCCUUCUGCUGACUCGCGCGGACAAUGGAAGAGUUGCAAGCUGGACAGAGCACAGUGUGAUGAAAAGCAGAUAGAGACAUUACAAGGUUUGGUCUCUGCAUGUUCCGACAAACAUUCUUUAUGAAUUUUGAAAUUUUACAAAUUAUACAAACCAAUCACUUUGUUGUAUUGAUUUCUUGUGUCCAGGUUUCAGAAGUGAAAUGCUGACGGCCCUGGAUUUCCUCAAAAAUUCCACCCAUGGGGGAAUGUUUAUAAAUUCUUGCUUUGCUCAUUGUCAAAGCGAGUCCCAGGAGACAUGGCUUGCGGUUGACUCCCCAAGGUUAAACGACAAGGUACAGAGCUUACAUUCUGCGCAUUAGGCUUCAGAAUAUUAUUUUCUCUUAUACAUGCUUUGACAUCACUAUCCAUUGACUUGAUAGGCUAUUUUAGGCUCUUAAUUAAAUGAGUUCAAUUAUGCUAUUUUUUCAAUUCAAGCUGCAACAAAUUAUAAAUGAACUACCUCCAGUUCAAAUUAGCUCAUUUUCAGAUAUAACAUAAUCUGAUCACAUAAAGAAAUAAUCAGACAAUUUAAGACCUAAUUUUGGAAUGUGCUUGUCUAAUUUGCAUGAAGGCUUGUUCAAUCCACUCACACAGUUAUGCCGUUCUGUUUCUUUAACAAUGUCCUGAAUUAAGCUGGAUCAGAGCAACUCUUGUUGUCAUCUUCUCAUUUCCAUUGUCUUGCUGAUUUUAAGUUUGGUUGUUGAAUCCUUUACCCCAUUUUAUUAAUAAAACUCAUCAAUGUCGCUGUGAAUAAUAUCUCUACCUUAUUUGGCAGACCAUAGCAGCAGCAGUUGGUGAUUGGUAUUUUGAUAGAAAUAUAACCAAAGAGAUUGACUGUCCAUAUCCUUGUGACAAUAACUGCCAUAACAUUACACCAUCAUCCCCGGUACGUAAUCUCCUCCUAAAUCAAAAUAUUUUUAAUAUCAAUGCUCAAUGUGUUAUUGUUGUCGCUAAGAUGCCAAUAUUGCAGGAUUCGGAAUCAUAAAUGGAAAAAGAUUCUUGUGGGUUUCUCUCUUUCUUGAAGUUCCAACAAAAGAUAUUGGAUUAUGCAAGGGGAAGAGUGAAAGGAAGAUAUACUAAAAGGAGUAUAUAGCUAUCGAUAUUUAAAUAAAUUUUAGAGCGGAAAAAAAUUAUAAGAUCCGCAAUAUCUCUGUAUUUUAUAGUAAAGGAAUAAAAACAUUCUUCAAAUUCGUAAUUGUUGAUCAUUGAUGCUAGAAAUAUGAGAGCCACUUUAAUUAUUCAGCUGAGUGAUGUGCUUUAACACAUAAUUUUAAUUGAUUUUCCAUUUCGGUUUCGGAUACACAACUAUACUGCUUACAGAAAAUUACAUGCCAAAGCUAUCAUUUAGAAAAAUUAUUCGGCUAUUUAUUUGCUCCAAUUCACGACAUAGAUUUAUAAUUUUUUUUUUUCUUGUUGGGACUACUCGGAUGCUCCCCUUUUUCGAUUUCUCAGUCACACACUUGAGAGUGAUCCUGAUGGCUGCGAAGAUUGCCGCAAAAGUCACAGGGAAACCAACACUGCCAUUAUCCAUGGCAUCAGUAUGGGCUGAUUUUCCAGUGACUCCCUGAAUUUGAAUUUUAGGAGAUUUCAAUAAUGAUCUUGUAAAAUAUGAAAGUGCAGGGUCUGGAUAUCCCGUAAAGUUUAAAGAGCCAUAAGGAUAAUCAUCGAAAGUAUAUUGUUAAUCUAUACAUUAAGCUACUGAAUAAAUUACAUAGGAAACAAUAAAAAAAAAAGUGUUUAUUUAUAUAGGGAGAUGUAAUUUUUUCCAUGCUGUGUAAAAAAGUAAAGUUUUUUUGCCCUUUCGAUAAGUCUUUUUCCCCUCGAAAUAUCUAAGUUUAUCCAUUUUUUCAAAUCCGUGUUGUUUUAAGUUUAAAAAAAAAAAACUCUAAUAUCGUAAAUCAAUUAAUUUGAUGAAGACAUUGAUAAAAUUGGUAAUUUGAUAAAUUUGUAAAUCAACUGGUAAAAAUAAAUAAAUAUAGCAUCCUAAAAAGGUGGUCACACUGUAUCGGAACUUAACGAAGGGCUUGGAAGUUGGAAAUUUCUUAUUCCAUUAGCAUCUUCUUUGAAACAUAACGAUAAGAUACAGUAAUAAAAUUCGUAAUUUAACUGUCUACAUAUGGAAAUGGCAAAAUUUUCUUAAUAAAAAUGGAAAAUAGAAAAAAUAUCUGCGGAUUUGUGACCUCAAUAAGGAAAAGGCCACGCCAUGUCAAUAGUAGUCUCACCACAUAAGAGAUUUACGCCACCCAAUCCCAUCCAACAAACCGCCGCAGCCAUCCGCUAUUACUUCACCAGGUGGCGCUCUAUUACCUCCGCCGCAGUACACUCUGCCCAUCAGUCAUCACCGAUGACCGCCCUCCCACGCUAAUAUUACUAAAACGCCCUUACAUUUUGUCCAAAAAACAAAUGCAAAGCCCAGUAUUUAAGACCAUCUGUUGGCCCAAAACACCGUCAUUUUGCUUCCAAGUUGAUGCUCUUUCUUCCUCUCUACUCAUCAGACCGAAAAAGUUUAACAGCAAAAGGGGAGGAGAGAUAAAGGAGAGACAGUGGAGUAGUACUGGUAGUAGGAGGAGGAGGAGCAAUUAUAAGAGCAAUAGAAGUGCCACGCCUUGUUCCUCUGCUAGCACUGUAUCUGGUGGUGUUGGUGGUGGAGGAGGCGGAGAUGAUAAUGGUUCGCUUCGUCGCUUCAAGCUGAACGAGUCCACUUUUUUGGCUUCUCUCAUGCCUAAGAAGGAGAUUGGCGCCGAUCGCUUCAUUGAUGCUCAUCCUGAGUUUGGCGGACGUGGCGUAGUUAUAGCUAUUUUCGGUACUACUGCAAUACUCACCUG